rnacentral:sRNA from 1 species
CACACACGGAUGUCGGGUUCAACGCGGGUCUCCGCUACGAUCCCACCGGUGGCGUCUCGCCGAGGCGCUCUGAUCCGUGGAGGCACUAACCGGUUCAAAGGAACGAA